AAGGCUUUAGCUUAAUUAAAGUGUCUGUUUUGCAUACAGGAGAUGUGGGUUAGUAUCCUGCAAGUCUUA
rnacentral:tRNA from 1 species